GUUUGGCUCUCAUGUUUGGAGGAACAGAUAAAGAAACAUCUGCAUUCGGUUAGAUAUGAAUCAAUUAGGUUGGCAUUAUCACUAGGCCUGCAGGGUUUUUCCAUAUAAUCCAAUUCUUAUUUCUCAUUCUUUGCACCAUCUCUUCCUACAAAGCAUAAUUUCUUCAUCAAACCAUUCCUCCGAUCCUCCUAUCCCAUCUCUCUAUGGCAACAUUUGGCAGACAGAAAGGAGUUUGGGUGGCAGUAUAUGUAGAGAGGCCUAGAUCAAGGAGAAGAUUGUUAUCAAAUAGCCGCCAGCCUCAGCACCAUCAUCAUCAUCACCAACACCUUCACCUUCAUCAGGAUUGUAAUACUAGAGGAUACAAUAGGAAAGCUCAGCUUCUCGAGUACUCAAGGCAACUUAGAGAAUCGGCUCGAUCUCAGGCAUCUUCUCCCUUGUUGCAUCCAAAGCCUGUUGCCAAUCAUAACCACCACCGACAACCUAUGACUCAGGUUAUCACUAAAAAUCAACUAAGCUGCAACCAUCUGUCACUUCCCCAGUGGUAUUUUGUAUCUUAUCUCGUUAGAAGCUCUUUGAGUUCCAUUUAUGUACAUAUAGGUGGAGAUAUAAAUGUCAACCAUUGUGAUUUCUUGACAGAUGAUUGCUGUUCAAAAGAUGAGAAGACAUGCAGUAACUCCAACUUGCAUGGGAAACUGGAAAUUGCUGGUACCUGGCUUUUUUAGAUCGUUGUUGAUGCCGCACAACAAGAAACCAAAGAACAAAAGGAAGAGAACAAACAAUCGAUCCACGGCUACCAAGAUAAAAGCUAUUAUGAAGAGCUUUCAGGUGAACAGGAGAAAGGGUUUUACGUCAAAAAUGUUUGCAACACUACGGAAACGUCGCUAGAAAUAUUCUUCAGCAAUGGAAGUGUCAAUUGUAGCUUUCAAUAAAUAUCUAUUCUCAAAAGUGUUCUUUUCUUGCUUUGUGAUAUUUCUCCUCCCAACGUCGAUGUAUGACUCUUUCUACCUCCUCCAAUCCAGACCAUUCAUUUUUAUUUAACCCCUCAUGGAUUGUGAGGGAGGGGUUUAAUGGGAAGGUACAGCGUUAUAGAAGCUUGAUCUGUAAUAGUUCGAUCCAAUAAUUUCAAUUUGGAUGAAUGAAAUUUUACACAAUUUUCUUGUA